rnacentral:lncRNA from 12 species
GCCUGCUCCCUCUGCCCUGGCUCCGCCCUGCGGCCCGGGACGCCGGCCUGGGGCCUGACCCCGGAGAGCUGCCCCUGCCUGGCCGCCAGCACAGGCCAGUGUCGGAUGGGCCACUGGUGUCCCGUCUGCUGUGGAGGGGGCAGCGGCCGUUCCUGAGGGCCUCCCUGGUCGGCAGAGGGAGCCGAGGGGACCAGCGUUCUCGGGGGGCCAGGACAGCGGGGCCACCAGCCUCGGGCCGCCUUUGCCUCAAAGCCCCCGAGGCCUUGCUUCCUUUCCAUCCCAGAGCAUCCAGACUCCUGAAGCCCCAGAUUCAGAGGCGUCUUUGUGGGGUUCGGCUCCCACUGCUCCACGCUGCUCUAGGACUUCUGAUCAGACCUGACUUUGAUGCCGUUGUGAAGCCAGAAGGAUCACCACCGCUCCUGGAGUCCAUCCCAUGCCCGCUCAC